GCCUGGGUGGCUCAGUCGGUUGAGCGUCCGACUUCGGCUCAGGUCAUGAUCUCACAGUUUGUGGGUUCGAGCCCCGUGUCGGGCU
rnacentral:tRNA from 1 species